ACGCACUCUAAACGGUUUGCAGUUUCCAUGGAUUGUAACGCCCAGAAAGAAGAAAACAUCCCUUUUCCCAAUUUCCACCCGCCCAACUGACCAAUUUCUCAUAAUCUCCACCGCCUACUCACAGCACAAGCUAUGUCCCUGCAGGCAUUGGUCUCCCCAGUGCACGUGACUCUUCCUGUCUCACGUGCCAAGAUAACUUGGACCCAUCUCCACCGUCCAUCAUUACCAGCAUCCUUUCGAAUUUCCCGGCCGCCUCUGCCGCCACUUGUUCGGUCACUCCCCACUGUGAGGAGCUGCACUGGACUGCCUUUUCUUGAUGUCAAAGGUGGCAAAGGAAUGAGUGGGUUUGUUGAAUUUGAGCUGAAGGUGCGUGAUUACGAGCUGGAUCAAUAUGGAGUUGUUAACAAUGCUGUUUAUGCGAGUUACUGUCAACAUGGUCGUCAUGAACUUUUGGAGAGGAUUGGUGUCAGUGCUGAUGCUAUUGCUCGCACUGGUGAUGCAUUGGCACUGUCAGAGUUGUCACUCAAAUUCCUUGCUCCUCUAAGAAGUGGAGACAGGUUUGUCGUCAGGGUGAGGAUCUCUGGCUCCUCUGCUGCUCGCUUAUACUUUGAUCACUUCAUCUUCAAACUGCCAAAUGAAGAGCCUAUUUUGGAAGCAAAAGCCACAGCAGUUUGGCUGGACAAAAAUUAUCGCCCUGUUCGUAUUCCAUCCGAGUUGAGAUCAAAAUUGGUUAAAUUUCUCAGAAAUGGGUCUAAUUAGUUUUAUCACCACUAGAAAUUGUAAAAUUUCCAUGCUUACUUUUACUAAUCAUUUUUACUUGCAAAGAAAGGGGGGUGGGGAGGAAUGGGCUGGAUAUUAGAAAGGUAUUUUCACAGAAUUACCUUUAGAACUAGGAAAUCCCUUGAAAUGGAAAUAUAGAAUUCAUCAUAUUUGUUGAGUUCUUUAUUUUUGUAUCCGAUACAAACAACUUUCAUAUGCGCUUGCUAAAGAAAAUGUGAGCACUAAGCACUUUUAAAUCUUCGUCUUCUGAAAUUUUGUAUAUUUGUUCAGAUUCUUAGUUUCAUCAUAUGUCCUGGGAAGAAAGCUUUAAUAGAAACAUGAAGAUCAGACCUUUCAAUACUUCUUAUUUUACAGUAAAAAAAUCUUGGAAACAUGAUCAUAGAACUGAAUUUUAAUGGAACGCAAAGUUACUGGAGAUAAUGAUUGGGACUGCAUAAAUGGUUGCAGGAAGAAAAUUAAUUAAAAAUUGAGAGAUUAUAAAAAACAAAUGGCAGGUUUGGAAGGUGCCCGCACAUAGCGCAGUCGUGCACGAGAUUGAAUUCUUACUUUUUAGCCUCGGGGUUCUCUAGAGACCCAACUACUAAUAUACUUAUGGCACGUGACUAUCUUGAUCGUAAGGUAUGACCAACGGGCUCAAUCAUGUACAUCAUGUUCCACAUUGAUCUUGCGAUCUUCACCAUCUCAAGGUCCUUGAGCUGUGAUCAUGUAGCCCCUGGACCCAGCUGACCAGUGAUCGUCGUCAUCAGCCGUUACUUUUACGCCAACAGAUUUUGAAAAAAGGUUCUACAGUUUGAUGAUUAUAAAAGGGUUUAAGCUGGUAUUGCCAUAAUCGCAAAGAAAGAAAAUGGAAGAGGGAAAGAAGGAGAAGAAGAAGGUAAUGGUGGCAGUAGAUGACAGCGAGUUUAGCCACUACGCUCUCGAAUGGGCCCUUGAUUUUUUAAAAGACGCCAUAGCCAACUCUGAUCUUGUCAUCUUCACUGCUCAGUCCAAUUCUAACUUCGGCUAUGUUUAUGCUUCCUCUUUUGGUUCUGCUCCUCCGGAUUUGAUUGCAUCUAUACAAGAAAAUCAACACAAGGUUGCAUUAGCUCUCCUGGAGAAAGCCAAAAGCAUCUGUGCCAACCAUGGGAUUGUUGCAGAGAUAUUGACAGAGAUUGGAGAUCCCAAAGAGGCAAUAUGUGAGGCAGUAGAAAAGCACAACGUCCAACUUCUUGUAUUAGGCAGUCAUAGCCGGGGUGCUAUACAGAGGGCUUUCCUUGGAAGUGUCAGCAACUACUGUAUUCACAAUGCCAAGUGCCCUGUUCUUGUUGUGAAGAAGCCAGCUUAAGAACAUUGCUAAAUUAUGGUUCCCAGAAGACCAGUAAGUUCAAAUUUUAUAUCUGGUAUUACCAAAUUGUGUUGUGUGCGCUAAUUAAGAAGGAAUUGCUGAAGAUAUGUUGGUUGAUGUGGUUGAGAUUCAGGUUUUCUCAAACUCUGUAAUUUAUCAAAUAUGAAAUAAAAUGCAGUUCGGUUCAUUUUCCUUCUGUUAUAUAAUUCAAUCAACUAGCAUUUGAUUUUCUUCGG
rnacentral:misc_RNA from 1 species